rnacentral:rRNA from 1 species
GACAGAGGGUGCAAACGUUGUUCGGAAUUACUGGGCGUAAAGCGCGUGUAGGCGGCCCUGCAAGUCGGAUGUGAAAUCCCACGGCUCAACCGUGGAAGUGCAUUCGAAACUGCAGGGCUAGAGUCCUGGAGAGGAAGGUGGAAUGCUUGGUGGUAGAGGUGAAAUUCGUAGAUAUCAAGCGGACCACCGGUGGCGAAGGCGGCCUUCUGGACAGUGACUGGACGCUGAGA